rnacentral:rRNA from 1 species
UCUAAGUAUAAGCAUUUAUACAGUGAAACUGCGAAUGGCUCAUUAAAUCAGUUAUCGUUUAUUUGAUAGUUCCUUUACUACAUGGUAUAACUGUGGUAAUUCUAGAGCUAAUACAUGCUUAAAAUCUCGACCCUUUGGAAGAGAUGUAUUUAUUAGAUAAAAAAUCAAUGUCUUCGGACUCUUUGAUGAUUCAUAAUAACUUUUCGAAUCGCAUGGCCUUGUGCUGGCGAUGGUUCAUUCAAAUUUCUGCCCUAUCAACUUUCGAUGGUAGGAUAGUGGCCUACCAUGGUUUCAACGGGUAACGGGGAAUAAGGGUUCGAUUCCGGAGAGGGAGCCUGAGAAACGGCUACCACAUCCAAGGAAGGCAGCAGGCGCGCAAAUUACCCAAUCCUAAUUCAGGGAGGUAGUGACAAUAAAUAACGAUACAGGGCCCAUUCGGGUCUUGUAAUUGGAAUGAGUACAAUGUAAAUACCUUAACGAGGAACAAUUGGAGGGCAAGUCUGGUGCCAGCAGCCGCGGUAAUUCCAGCUCCAAUAGCGUAUAUUAAAGUUGUUGCAGUUAAAAAGCUCGUAGUUGAACUUUGGGCCCGGUUGGCCGGUCCGAUUUUUUCGUGUACUGGAUUUCCAACGGGGCCUUUCCUUCUGGCUAACCUUGAGUCCUUGUGGCUCUUGGCGAACCAGGACUUUUACUUUGAAAAAAUUAGAGUGUUCAAAGCAGGCGUAUUGCUCGAAUAUAUUAGCAUGGAAUAAUAGAAUAGGACGUUUGGUUCUAUUUUGUUGGUUUCUAGGACCAUCGUAAUGAUUAAUAGGGACGGUCGGGGGCAUCAGUAUUCAAUUGUCAGAGGUGAAAUUCUUGGAUUUAUUGAAGACUAACUACUGCGAAAGCAUUUGCCAAGGACGUUUUCAUUAAUCAAGAACGAAAGUUAGGGGAUCGAAGAUGAUCAGAUACCGUCGUAGUCUUAACCAUAAACUAUGCCGACUAGGGAUCGGGUGGUGUUUUUUUAAUGACCCACUCGGCACCUUACGAGAAAUCAAAGUCUUUGGGUUCUGGGG